UACACACCGCCCGUCACACCAUGGGAGUGAGUUGCUCCAGAAGCCGUUAGUCUAACCGCAAGGGGGACGACGACCACGGAGUGGUUCAUGACUGGGGUG
rnacentral:rRNA from 1 species